rnacentral:tRNA from 1 species
GCCUGGGUGGCUCAGUUGGUUAAGCGUCUGACUUAAGCUCAGGUCAUGAUCUCAUGGUCCGUGGGUUUGGGCCCCACGUCAGGCU